GAUAAAUCUUAUUCUAUCUGUUCUUAAUGAGUUUUAGAUAAUUUUAGUUGUAUUUCUUUGUAAUUUUGUGUUGUACAAAGAUUAAUUUAACAUUUUCUCUGGAAGUAUUAAUUUAGAAAGAUAAUAUGCUUCAUUGGUGUUGUGUUUUGAAGUGUGAAAUGCAAAGUAAUUGUGAUAGUUAAAUGCAAGAUAAAGUUCACUUUUAAACUGAACUAAAUAAGGUAUCUGAGAGACAACAAUGGUUAAAUGCAAUACAAUGUACAGGUUUUACUAGCGAAAUGAAAAUUUUCCUGUCCUGUCUGCUGUAAUCAUUUUAUAUCUGGAAAACCAGCCGACUUAAUAGAUAAUAACAAUCUCCAGAUUGGGUUCCUUCAAUAAAUAUGGACUAUAAACACAAUGAAAUAAGUUCCCCAAAAUCUAAAAUGGAGUGCUAUCAAAGGAGAAUUAAAGGAAAAAA
rnacentral:lncRNA from 1 species